CAAGCAAAGAGUACACGAGUGCAUUAUAAUAGGAGGAGUACGCACGUAUUCCAGGAGGCUGUCGGCCUCGGCGUCGAGGGGCGGGACAAAGGCGGAGUUCUUGCGGCCCGAGACAAUCUCGAGAACAACCACGCCGAAGCUGAAGACGUCGGCCUUGGUGGAGAGGUCGCCGUGCAUGAGGUACUCGGGCGCCAUGUACCCGUUAGUGCCGGCGACACGGGUAUGGACGCGAGAGUGACCAUCGCCGGCCUCGGGGAAGAGGCGGGCCAUGCCGAAGUCCGCGAUCUUGGGCACCCACCGGUCGUCCAGGAGGAUGUUGCUGGCCUUGAUGUCGCGGUGGAUGAUAGGCGUGUGCGCGUCCUCGUGGAGGUAGAGCAGGCCACGCGCCACGCCGACCACAACCUCGUGCCGCCGCGGCCAGGUCAGCUCCGCUCGUCGUGAUCGGUCGCUGUUGCUGCUGGCUGGACAUGACACAAGGGCAAGCAGUGUCAGCCUUAGAGGCUGAGAAGCAUAUGCAGAAUUGCAGAUAUAGCAGAGAUGAAUGUAACACAAAAGAAAGUAAGAAAAAAAGGACAAUGUCUGUGCGUCUCAUAAAGUCACAAAUCGGAAUAAAUGAUCCAGAAAUCGCUGUGGCAGAAAAAUAAAACGACAGCUUGUGAAUGGUGAGAAAAAAAUCGGCACAAUCCAACUUACGGUAGAAUCGUGAAAAGUUCCUUAAAGCACUUAGAAAUUUUCAAUACACUCAAAACUGAAUCGAGUAGUAGGGCUGGACAUUUGAUCUAUCGGAGUAAUUCGGUUCGGUCUAUUCGAAUUUUUGAAAUUUCGGGUUUUAAAAAAUAAGAACCGAAAUUUUUAAAAUAAUUUUAGGAACCGAACCUGAA
rnacentral:misc_RNA from 1 species